UUUCAGAAGGGAAAACUGAGGCCCAGAGAGGGCACCUCAUUUCCCCCUGGUCAACCAGCAUGUCGGGAGCCCGAGGACCCUAAUCCUGGCGCCUUCUCCAGGGCGCUCCGCUGGGGGGAGGGGAACGCUGUGCAGGUGGCCUUGCCUCUCACAAACCUGAAGCCGGAGGAAGGGGGGUGUCUAUUCUGGUUUUGGUAAGGGAAGGGUUAAGGGGAUAGCGACCCCUUCCCCCACCCACCUUGUCUCUCUCCCCCUCUCCAUCCUCCUUCCUCAUCUCUAAUCUGCCUCUGUUAAUCCCCAGCUCGAGUCUUCUGUCCCUCCCUCCCUCUUAGGUACCUGAGAGGAAGGGGGGGGGAUGGGUUGAUAGCAGCCGGAUCCCAGGGGUUGGGGCCCAGGGGACAACCGGGGGCGGCACCGACGGAGCCCCCACCCAUCAUGUCCCCCAGGAGGCCACCCCUGGGCUGUGGGAACAGUGCUGCAUGUGAGCCUGCUCAGUUACCUUCGUAGCAGCCCUAUAACUCCAUCUCCGUUUUAUCAGGAAACCGAGGCUCAGAGAGGUUUAGAUAGGUCCCUGAGGUCACCCAGCUAGCCCAGAGGAUGCUUUCCUGACUGAAUCGCAUCAUUUCAGCUUCUUCUGAAUAGGCCGAGAAUGUCUCAGACCAUCACCUCCUGCUUCCUGUAUAACCGUAGGACACAGCUGAGCUGAGUUUCUGCCACUGUGGAGCAAAGCCCCCCCUUCCUCCAGCUGUUUGGCCUGAAGUUCUCUCACUCUGUUUCAUUCCUGGGAGACGGAAGGGAUUCGUCAACGCAUGAAAAGUGCCCAGCCUUACGCAGACCAAAGAGAGGAUAGCAAACAGGAAGAAAACACCUUAUGCUUUGGCACUCAUCAAAGAAAGUGGUGUUCACUUGGCGGGUGUUUAUUCCAUGAGCCGACUGUAAAAUUUACUGAUAAAUGGAGCAAUGGCGACGGAAUAAGGAAGCAGGCAAGCCACAGACAGGAGCCACCCAGCCUGGGUUCAUAUUGUGGCAGCGUGACACUGGGCCAGUCGCCUCAACCAUCCGAGCCUCAGUUUACCCGUCUGUAAAACGGGAUCGGAGUAGCUGUAGCGAGGAUCGAGCAGGUUCACGCUUGCCAAGUGCCUAGAACAGGACCCAGCGGGCAGCAAAUCAUGCAGAAGGGUCUGUUAUGUGAAAACAGGGGCACCUGGGGGGCCCAGUCGGUUGGGCGUCCGACUUCGGCUCAGGUCAUGAUCUCGACAAGCUCCCUUUGUGUCCCGCACUGUUCAAAGUUACUCAGGGGUCAAAAACUUCUGUAAAGAGGCAGAGAGUAAAUAUUUGCAGCGUUGCCAACCAGAUGGUCCCUGAUGCACCUACUCAGCUCUGCCCUUGUCACUGGAAAGCCAAAAGCCACCAGGGACAGCAUGUGAACAGACGGGCUGUGUACCAAUAAAACUUUAUUUAUGGACA